GGUCUGCUGGCGUAAUUGGAUAGCGCGUCGGACUACGAAUCCGGAGGUUCCAGGUUCAAGUCCUGGGUAGAUCG
rnacentral:tRNA from 1 species